GCCGGGCGUGGUGGUAUGCGCCUUUAUUCCCAGAUGCUCGGGAGGCUGAGGUGGGAGGAUCGCUUGAGUCCAGGAGUUCUGGGCUGCAGUGUGCUAUGCCGAUCGGGUGUCCGCACUAAGUGUAGCAUCAGUAUGGCGACCUCCCAGGAGUGGGGAUCCACCAGAUUGCCUAAGGAGAGGUGAACCAGCCCAGGUCGGAAAUAAAUGGUGGGCAAUUUUGUCUUCAUUGUACACAAGAACCUGGACUAUUUUUGCCCUAUUCAACCGUAACAAUGAUACAGUGCAUCA
rnacentral:sRNA from 1 species